UGGGAUUAAAGGUGUACACCACCACUGCCCA
rnacentral:piRNA from 1 species